rnacentral:rRNA from 1 species
UACGGGGGGUGCAAGCGUUGUUCGGAAUUAUUGGGCGUAAAGCGCGUGUAGGCGGUCGCGCAAGUUGGAUGUGAAAGCCCUGGGCUCAACCUAGGAAGUGCAUCCAAAACUGCGUGACUUGAGUCUCGGAGGGGGUCGGAGAAUUCCCGGUGUAGAGGUGAAAUUCGUAGAUAUCGGGAGGAACACCAGUGGCGAAGGCGGCUUUCUGGCCAUCAACUGACGCUGAGACGCGAAAGCGUGGGGAGCAAACAGG